AACUACCUAUCCAUAUGUUCUAAUUAGGGUUUACAAUUAAUAUCAAUUAACACUAUGUAACUAUGUAGUUGCUUUUUUUCAGGAAAUUACAAGUAUUUUGAUGAGUUGCUGCUAAAAAUGACUACUUUAUAUGGGUUGCUGCUAAAUUCUUCCGUUUUGGGUCAUAAAAAUGGAAACCCAAUGCUUUCGUUUCGAUAUCGAUUGUCUACUGAAGCCAAUUCUAGAGACUUGAUUGCUUGUAAUUUUGUACCAAAAUGGAAUUUAAGGUCAGAGAUCAAUUAUUCAAACAAAAGGCAGAUUCGACCUCGGUUUUCGAUGUCUAAGGGAG